rnacentral:rRNA from 1 species
UACGAAGGGGGCUAGCGUUGCUCGGAAUUACUGGGCGUAAAGCGCACGUAGGCGGCUUUCUAAGUCGGGGGUGAAAUCCUGGAGCUCAACUCCAGAACUGCCUUCGAUACUGGAAAGCUCGAGUCCGGGAGAGGUGAGUGGAACUGCGAGUGUAGAGGUGAAAUUCGUAGAUAUUCGCGAAGAACACCAGUGGCGAAGGCGGCUCACUGGCCCGGUACUGACGCCGAGGUGCGAAAGCGUGGGGAGCAAACAGG